AGUUCAAAGCGUACGGUGCGUCUAGCGGCUGCAAGAACUGGUUAAAACAUUUGAAAAGGCAAAAAGUUCAACUCAGCUGAAUGCGAAACGUGCGCGAAGUGAGCAGCAGCAGGCAGUCCCAUUGGCCAACUGAGUGAAGUCGCAAACGAAACAAUUUUGUGCCAACUCGUGUAAUUAAAGUGCAGCAGCAGCAGCAGCAACAACAAUAGCAACAAUAACAAAACAAAAACAAAAGGACAAGUGAAUGAAUCAAAUUUAAUUAUGAGAUAAACGUUAAAACAAAACAAAUUAAAUAACACAAACGCAAAGGAAACACAUUUACACAACGACAGGCGGCAACAUAUAAAAUAAAAUCCGUAAAGGGUAAACUUUGGCACCAGAUCGAGGAUGCACAACUGGCGGCAACUGGCGACGGCGUCGAGCUGGUGGCAAGCACUGCAAACACCCAGUUACUGUUCCAAUUUCUGCCUCGCGUGCCAGUUACACUUAUAGAUACAGCUACAGAAAUAUAUAUAGAUACAAAUGUGCAGCUAUUAAAUACAGCGUGCAUGCACGAAAGAUACUCGCGAAUUGAUGUGGAACAUGUGCCAAUGCUUUGCGCUGUUGGAAGCUGCCGCGAGGGCGACGUUGCCGCUUGAUUUUGGCCAAGUUAAAUAAACAGGGCACACACACACACAAACAAACACACGCAAACACGCACAGACUCGCACGCAAGUAAACAAUAAAUAAGGCCAACCGAGUUGUCAACAAACGCAUCGCUUC